GUCUGUGUGGGACAGCUGGAGCUUCUGUGUUUCUCCCUCAGCUGCGGAACUGGAGCGGAGCGGCUUGUUACCUGCAGCCUUCAGAUGAAUAAUACGACCCAGAGACCCCGGCUUUAACAUCCCUCAGCAACCACAGGUCGGGCGCGCCGACCAGCAGCCGACCAGUACGAGACUGAGUCUGCGACUCACCUGCAUGGCGAU